rnacentral:rRNA from 1 species
UGUAAGCGUAUACCAAAGUUGUUGCAGUUAAAACGCUCGUAGUCGGAAUUUGGCAGUUCCGGAUGUGUGCACGUCGUGUGCGCACUUCGCGGGGAUUGCUUUUGUGGUCUUGCGUAGGAUGAGGCACUUUUAUUAGUGAACGUCCUCACGCAACCACUUUUUACUGUCAGAAAAUCAGAGUGCUCAAAGCAGGCAUUUGCCGUGAAUGUAUUAGCAUGGAAUAAUAGAAUAGGACUUGGUUCUAUUUUGUUGGUUUGUUGGGACUGAGUAAUGAUUAAGAGGGACAGUUGGGGGCAUUUGUAUUUCGGUGCUAGAGGUGAAAUUCUUAGAUUACCGAAAGACAAACUGCUGCGAAAGCGUCUGCCAAGGAUGUUUUCAUUGA